GCAAGCUGGACAGCCGCGCCGGCGGGGCGAAAGGCCCGCCGGUGAGGAAAGUCCGGGCUCCGCAGGGCAAGGAUAACGGGUAACACCCGCCGGGGGCGACCCUAGGAAAAGUGCAACAGAGAUAUACCGCCCCGGGCCGCGUCUGCGGCCCGGAGUAAGGGUGGAAAGGCGGAGGUAAGAGCCCGCCCGAUGGCGUGCCAAGCGUCCAUCGCUGUAAACUCUAUCCGGAGCAACGCCGUGGAGGGACAUAUGGCCGGCCCGGCCGUCCCGGGGAGGCGGCUGGAGCGCACCGGCGACGGUGCGUCGAGAUAGAUGGCUGUCUUAAAGGACAGAACCCGGCUUACAGGCUUACUUG
rnacentral:RNase_P_RNA from 1 species